AAGAAAGAAAAGAAAACAAAACAAAACAAAAAAAGGGACACAACAAAGAUUUUUUCCUUAUCCCCCAAUUCUCAUUCUUUUCUUUUCUUUCAACUUUUUUUUUCU
rnacentral:ribozyme from 13 species